GGGGUCUUACCCAAGUGGUAAGGGGCAGGUCUGCAAAACCUCUAUGCAGCGGUUCGAUUCCGCUAGACCCCU
rnacentral:tRNA from 1 species